rnacentral:rRNA from 1 species
GACGAACGCUGGCGGCGUGCUUAACACAUGCAAGUCGAACGGAAAGGCCCUGCUUUUGUGGGGUGCUCGAGUGGCGAACGGGUGAGUAACACGUGAGUAACCUACCCUUGACUUUGGGAUAACUUCAGGAAACUGGGGCUAAUACCGGAUAGGAGCUCCUGCUGCAUGGUGGGGGUUGGAAAGUUUCGGCGGUUGGGGAUGGACUCGCGGCUUAUCAGCUUGUUGGUGGGGUAGUGGCUUACCAAGGCUUUGACGGGUAGCCGGCCUGAGAGGGUGACCGGCCACAUUGGGACUGAGAUACGGCCCAGACUCCUACGGGCGGCAGCAGUGGGGAAUAUUGCACAAUGGGCGGAAGCCUGAUGCAGCAACGCCGCGUGCGGGAUGACGGCCUUCGGGUUGUAAACCGCUUUCGCCUGUGACGAAGCGUGAGUGACGGUAAUGGGUAAAGAAGCACCGGCUAACUACGUG